UCUAGCCAUGGGCAGGUUGAAGGUUGGGUAACACUAACUGGAGGACCGAACCGACUAAUGUUGAAAAAUUAGCGGAUGACCUGUGGCUGGGGGUGAAAGGCCAAUCAAACCGGGAGAUAGCUGGUUCUCCCCGAAAGCUAUUUAGGUAGCGCCUCGUGAAUUCAUCUCCGGGGGUAGAGCACUGUUUCGGCUAGGGGGCCAUCCCGGCUUACCAACCCGAUGCAAACUGCGAAUACCGGAGAAUGUUAUCACGGGAGACACACGGCGGGUGCUAACGUCCGUCGUGAAGAGGGAAACAACCCAGACCGCCAGCUAAGGUCCCAAAGUCAUGGUUAAGUGGGAAACGAUGUGGGAAGGCCCAGACAGCCAGGAUGUUGGCUUAGAAGCAGCCAUCAUUUAAAGAAAGCGUAAUAGCUCACUGGUCGAGUCGGCCUGCGCGGAAGAUGUAACGGGGCUAAACCAUGCACCGAAGCUGCGGCAGCGACGCUGAUGCGUUGUUGGGUAGGGGAGCGUUCUGUAAGCCUGUGAAGGUGGCCUGUGAGGGUUGCUGGAGGUAUCAGAAGUGCGAAUGCUGACAUAAGUAACGAUAAAGCGGGUGAAAAGCCCGCUCGCCGGAAGACCAAGGGUUCCUGUCCAACGUUAAUCGGGGCAGGGUGAGUCGACCCCUAAGGCGAGGCCGAAAGGCGUAGUCGAUGGGAAACGGGUUAAUAUUCCCGUACUUGGUGUUACUGCGAAGGGGGGACGGAGAAGGCUAUGUUGGCCGGGCGACGGUU
rnacentral:rRNA from 1 species